rnacentral:rRNA from 1 species
GACGAACGCUGGCGGCGUGCUUAACACAUGCAAGUCGAACGGAAAGGCCCUGCUUUUGUGGGGUGCUCGAGUGGCGAACGGGUGAGUAACACGUGAGUAACCUGCCCUUGACUUUGGGAUAACUUCAGGAAACUGGGGCUAAUACCGGAUAGGAGCUCCUGCUGCAUGGUGGGGGUUGGAAAGAUUCGGCGGUUGGGGAUGGACUCGCGGCUUAUCCGCUUGUUGGUGGGGUAGUGGCUUACCAAGGCUUUGACGGGUAGCCGGCCUGGGAGGGUGACCGGCCACAUUGGGACUGGGAUACGGCCCAGACUCAUACGGGAGGCAGCAGUGGGGAAUAUUGCACAAUGGGCGGAAGCCUGAUGCAGCAACGCCGCGUGCGGGAUGACGGCCUUCGGGUUGUAAACCGCUUUCGCCUGUGACGAAGCGUGAGUGACGGUAAUGGGUAAAGAAGCACCGGCUAACUACGU